rfam:Schistosoma mansoni strain Puerto Rico chromosome 6, complete genome
AGCCUUCUAAAUCUGUGUCGAGAUAUGGUCAGACACCAGACCAUCAGUACUGAUGAGACUCAUAAGAUGAGUGGAGUG